UUUAUAAGCAGAACAACUCAGAUCAAGGCUUCUGUGUUCCAUGUCAUCCUUCUGUAAGAAAGCCUGAAGAGUUUGCAUAGCUCUUUCUAAUGUGGCAAUGAUCUCCAGCAACCUCUUCUUGAAAAGUACCAUCUUUGGAAGGCUUACCCAUGUUGAAUUUAGCUUCAGCAGGAAACAGCCAUGAAAACAAAAAGAGCACCUUACUAUUUGAAUUUCCCUUUUUCUGAAGUUCUCUCUACCUUAUUUAAACAUCUACAGUAGGUAGAACUAACUAACAGAAGAACUAACACUUUCUCACUUGCCAAACAUCUCUUCAAGAAGAAUUGAACAUAGUAUUCAGUGAUUCACUGCAUCAUCAGUAAACUUUACACAGUUUGUUCUUCACCUUUUUUUCCUCUGUUGUGCUAGAUGCUCAGUUUGAUAACCUUCUGCAUAAGUUGAGACUCAUUUCUUUUUCAAACUAUAGUAGUGAAUUUUGCAUUACGCUUGUUCCAACUGGAACAGAAUUUAUAUUUCUUAGGUUUGAUAUUUCUGUUUUGUGUUUUGCCCUGAUAGUGAAGCUGAUCUGAAGGCUUUCUGCACCUAGUUCAUGUGGUUAUUUGAUUCUUUAUGAUUAUCACAGUAUUGGGUAUCCAGUGCAACAAAAGAACACACUUCAUAUAGAUAGUUAUGAUGAAAAUGUUAUGUUUUAAUGAAAUAUUUUAUUACGUAGUCCUAAAAUCUAUUAAAAAUAAGUAUAAAAUCCAAUGAAGCACAAAUACAUUCCUUAUAUAUGAAUGCUUUUCACUGAUUGGCAACUGCAUUUUGAUCUGUUCAUGCAGGAGUGUUUGCAGGUACCAUCUAAUUUAAGGAUUUGUUGUGCUGCCUGCAAUCUUGGAAAAUAUUAUGUACUCAUAGUAUGAGGAGUAUAUCCAUAAUGUACAUAGGUGCUUGUUACAUUUGCAUGUUAUGUGAGAAGUAGCUAUGCAGAAAAUAUAUAAAUAAUUCAGAACAAAUACAGACUUUGCAAGUACCUGUCUGGAUCAAGUGUACCACUGUAUAUAGAAAUAUCAGCUAGUGUUACCUUCUG
rnacentral:lncRNA from 7 species